UUUUUUAAUUGAAGACUUGCCCUUAAGGAAGAGAUGUCCUCAAGGACUUGUAGGCCCUAGAAAGGCCAAAAGAGAGGAAGAAUCAAAGGGCAUAGCUAUGAAUUCUUGAAAAUGAAAUGGUGGUCUUGUAAUGGGGAAUGGGUCAUUCAACUUGCGAGGCCCUUCUUCUUUCUAGAUUCUUUAAUAUAACAAACGUGCUUGACUGGACAAUAUGGUAUUAUACUACACAGC
rnacentral:lncRNA from 1 species